UACGGAUGGUGCGAGCGUUGUCCGGAAUCACUGGGCGUAAAGGGCGCGUAGGCGGCCUGAUAAGUAGGGGGUGAAAUCCUGCGGCUUAACCGCAGGGCUGCCUUCUAAACUGUCAGGCUUGAGCACAGUAGAGGCAGGUGGAAUUCCCGGUGUAGCGGUGGAAUGCGUAGAGAUCGGGAAGAACAUCAGUGGCGAAGGCGGCCUGCUGGGCUGUUGCUGACGCUGAGGCGCGACAGCGUGGGGAGCAAACAGG
rnacentral:rRNA from 1 species